rnacentral:lncRNA from 1 species
CUAGCGAAUCUUAGAAACUCUACCUUUUCAGACCAAAUAUAAUCUGGCAUAGGUUUAGGAAUAUAAACAUAAAGUCCUUAAGGGAAAAAAAUGAGUGUGAAAAGGGUUCAUGCUCCAAAUGGAAUCAUGUUUCUGACAUGUCUGUUUUGAGCAUCGGAAGUUUGAUUCUAAUUAUGAUAGGUUUCACAUUUCAGAAACUUAUCUGUAAGAAUAUAAAUCUUUAAUUCUGAUCUUUCAAGAGGCCACACCAGGUUGGUUGAGAGUGAUUAGGUCAUAGUAUUGUCUGACAUAUUCAGGUUAACACAUAGGCGACUUGCAAAGAUAUACAUAAGAAAUUAACAAAACAACUUCAGAUACUUUCUCACUAAGGAAUC